UACGUAGGGGGCGAGCGUUGUCCGGAAUUAUUGGGCGUAAAGAGCUUGUAGGCGGUUUGUCGCGUCUGCCGUGAAAAUUCGAGGCUCAACCUCGAACUUGCGGUGGGUACGGGCAGACUAGAGUGUGGUAGGGGAGACUGGAAUUCCUGGUGUAGCGGUGAAAUGCGCAGAUAUCAGGAGGAACACCGAUGGCGAAGGCAGGUCUCUGGGCCACUACUGACGCUGAGAAGCGAAAGCAUGGGGAGCGAACAGG
rnacentral:rRNA from 1 species